rnacentral:rRNA from 1 species
UACGAAGGGGGCUAGCGUUGCUCGGAAUUACUGGGCGUAAAGCGCACGUAGGCGGCUCUUUAAGUCGGGGGUGAAAUCCUGGAGCUCAACUCCAGAACUGCCUUCGAUACUGUAGAGCUUGAGUUCGGGAGAGGUGAGUGGAACUGCGAGUGUAGAGGUGAAAUUCGUAGAUAUUCGCAAGAACACCAGUGGCGAAGGCGGCUCACUGGCCCGAUACUGACGCUGAGGUGCGAAAGCCAGGGGAGCAAACGGG